CGUUAGCGGCGGACGGGUGAGUAACACGUGGGUAACCUACCUAUAAGACUGGGAUAACUUCGGGAAACCGGAGCUAAUACCGGAUAAUAUUUCGAACCGCAUGGUUCGAUAGUGAAAGAUGGUUUUGCUAUCACUUAUAGAUGGACCCGCGCCGUAUUAGCUAGCUGGUAAGGUAACGGCUUACCAAGGCGACGAUACGUAGCCGACCUGAGAGGGUGAUCGGCCACACUGGAACUGAGACACGGUCCAGACUCCUACGGGAGGCAGCAGCA
rnacentral:rRNA from 1 species